rnacentral:rRNA from 1 species
GACGAACGCUGGCGGCGUGCCUAAUACAUGCAAGUCGAACGCAGUGGGGACGGGUGAGUAACACGUGGUUAAUCUCCCAUCAGAGGGGAUAACACUUGGAAACAGGUGCUAAACCGAUACUGAUGGAUGUACUCGCGGUGAAUUAGCUAGUUGGUGAGGUAACGGCUCACCAAGGCCACGAUGCAUAGCCGACCUGAGAGGGUGAUCGGCCACACUGGGACUGAGACACGGCCCAGACUCCUACGGGAGGCAGCAGUAGGGAAUCUUCGGCAAUGGACGAAAGCCUGAUGCAGCCAUGCCGCGUGUAUGAAGAAGGCCCUAGGGUUGUAAAGUACUUUCAGUCGGGAGGCGUUGCCGACAGAAGAAGCACCGGCUAACUCCGUGCCAGCAGCCGCGGUAAUAC